UGCUACCUCCAGCCCUCAGUUCCCUAGUCAGGGGAACCUCAGAUUUAUAGUCAGUGUGUCAGAAGGAUGAGUCAGAAGCACUGUACUUAUGAUUGGAUCUGAAGAGGGAGCGCACUGUUAUGGGUCUGAGCCUUUAACCUGUGAGAUCUAUCUGAUGGUAUCUCUAGUUGUAUAGUGUCAGAAUUGACACGCCUUAUAGAACAGAUAAUACAUGUCCCCUUGUAAAGAUCAAGGAUUUCCUUGGAGUCUUCCAGUUCAAUAGAUAACAUCUAAGGAGUGAUGGGGUGGGGUUGUCAUGAAUAUUUUCCCAGACCUGUGACUCAUCAAGAGCCCUGGGUCCAGGGCAUAAGUGACUUAUGGGGGACACCUAAACACUCGUUUUUGUUCCUGGAUUACUAAGAAGACAUGUACACCAGACCACUGUCUUCAGUAAAAACCCUAAGCCCCAAGCAAAGACAAAUGCACUCUUUUUUCCUUUCUUAGUAUCCCAGAUACUACACUCUGCAUAUCUAAACUCUGCUCUCACUUCUUCUUGGCUUGUGCUUGAUUUCUUUCCUGCACGAAGCCAAGAACCCUCUUGACUGGUGGAGAUUUUAGUAUUAGAAUGAGGUAAAGGUGGUCAUUGGUCAUUCUAGAGGUCACUCCAUGGUUAUUAGAAUGAGGUAAAGGUGGUCAUCAGUCAUUCUAGAGGUCACUCCAUGGUGAAUCUGCAUAGGUACAAGUCAGGGGGUAAGCUCAAACUGGUCUGGGUGGUCCCAGCCGGCUAGAGGUCUUGUCAGGGCAGUCGCUAUUUGCUCAAGGGGGCAGUUUCACUUUCCAUUUGCCUGAGUUGGAAGAUAAACUGGAAAGAAGAGCUUAAGGAAAAUAUGGGACAAAGGUCAGUGAGUACAAGCAAGUGGACAGUAAAGGUCAGGUCUUGCGGCUUAGCUGGUGACAAAAGUAAAGAAGAAAGAAGACACAUUGGAGGGAAGGACUGAGUUUUUCCGAGUAUUUGACUGGUGGUAAUGAACAAGAAUUUCCUGUGCUCUAUCCUGUGGCAGAGUCACAUGUUGGCACUACAAAGCAGUCAUCUGAAGGGUAAUAAAUAUGCACGACGGAAGAAACGAAGUCAUUUUCAUCAGGACUCCAAAAUAGUUACCUUUUGCCUUAUAAGUAUUGUUUGUUUGAAAUUAUCAUUGAACAAUAACAAUUAUGGGAAGACAUUUGCUGUAUGUAAUGGUUUCUAUCAGAAGAUUUUACAGAACAACCAGACUGGAAGACCUAAUGACUAUAGUCAGUCAGAUGAAUGUUCUUACACUGAGAAUCACUGCGAAUACAAAUACUGCCUGAAACAAUAGUGCUGUGGGAGUGAGUUCAUAAUGAUUGGUGUAUUCUCAGAUUAUAUAAUUCUUUGAAUUUGGAUUUGUACCUGCAAGAAUAUUCAGAGAGAUCAUUGAGAUUUUUGUAGAGUAUGUGGGAAGCUUUUGUUGUGUGGGUCAGCCCAACAUGCAAUGUGGAUGAGUCCUCCUCCUAAAUGCCAAGUGUGCUGAUCUUUCUGGCAACAACAAUGUCAUUCAACAUUUCCCAAACACCUCUUCAAGGUGAGACCACUACCACUGGAAAUCAGGUAUACAGCCUUCUCCUUGGUUUCAAAUGGACAAACUCUGGUCAACUCAAGGGUGAAUUAGGUUUAAAAACUGAACAAGAAAAUAGCUUAAAUUUGCUAUGGUUUACUUUAAAUACAGGGGACUCUUCAACAUGCAGGUUUCUCUUGCUCUCUUACUGCCUUUACUUAAGUUUGUAUCACAUGUCCCUAAAUCCAGUGACAUUUCUAGCUGAGUAUUCCUUCUUGCCCAUUACACUUCCACUUCAUUCAUGAGUUCCAUUUCUUCUUUGGUCUGUGUUAAAUCCCGGAUCUCCCAUUUCUUUGCUGUGCAGUUUGGGCAUAUUACAUAACCUUUUGAACCUCAGUUUCUUCAUUCACAGAGAUAAUAGCAGUACUCGUCUCAGGAUUGUUAUGAAGAUAAACAUGACAAAAAGGCUUCCCAGAGUACAACCCAAAAGAAUAGUGACAACAGACUUUCAGUUGCCCCCUCGGCAGAGAAAGCUAACAUCUGAGAGAUGGCUUCCAUUUAGAGUAGUCAAAUGGGCAGGGUAAACUAUCUCCAGUACAUAGGCAUGCAUGGAAAGAUGAAUAAAAAAUUAUCAGAACACAGAAAGGCACUAAUAUACUAUGAAUAGUUAAUGACAUGCAUCAGUUUGAGAUAAUCUACAAAAGUAAUGGACUUGCCAGUAGAACAUUAAUGGCUCCAAUUCUUUGGUCAAAAUAGUGUCUUCCUCAGAGAGAGUUUGGAUGAUCAUUGCCCAAGGUUGUCUCUCUUUGCUUUACACAUCCAUUGCUGACCUGCUACGCCUCUAAUUAACAUAUAUUCUGUUUAUUAUGUGUCUUUGAGUAACAUUCAGAGGACUAUUAUUUUUUCCUUUACAUUCAAGGAGCACUUUCUCAGCUUCUCCCUAUAAACUGGCUACAUGGGCAGCCUGGGUGGCUCAGCGGUUUAGCGCCGCCUUCAGGCCAGGGCCUGAUCC